rnacentral:rRNA from 1 species
UACGUAGGUGGCAAGCGUUAUCCGGAUUUAUUGGGCGUAAAGAGAACGCAGGCGGUCUUUUAAGUCUGAUGUGAAAGCCUUCGGCCUAACCGGAGUAGUGCAUUGGAAACUGGGAGACUUGAGUGCAGAAGAGGAGAGUGGAACUCCAUGUGUAGCGGUGAAAUGCGUAGAUAUAUGGAAGAACACCAGUGGCGAAAGCGGCUCUCUGGUCUGUAACUGAUGCUGAGGUUCGAAAGCGUGGGUAGCAAACAGG